CUGAGAUCCUGUGAUCCUGGGUGUUUCAGAGCACUCUGAUCUUGGGAGUCCAACUUCCUCUAGUUGUUUUGGUACUUGGUUUGGAGCCAGCACCCUAGGUCUGCUCAGGACAAUGGCUUUUGAGGUCAUCAAGAACCGAGGAGAAUUGGAACGACUCUGUGGUCCAGGGGAUCUAAAUGAAACUUGAGAUAUGACAAGCAUGUGAAGUCCCGGAUAUACCCUUGAACAGAAAACACACAUUAAGUAAGGCAAUUCCCAAUGAGAGAAUCCAGGGAUUCCUGCAGAGACUAUAAAAGCCAGAGGGAUGGAGGAGGACACUAGGAGAACAAGACCCCAUCAGUUAACUAAGAAAGGCACAUGGGAACUCACAGAGCCUGAAAAAGCAAGCACAAGACCGUCAUCAGCCUGUACCAGUAUAGUUUUUCUACUUAGAAUGUUUUUUCAACUUUUUAUUGAUUUUUUUUUGUGAAUUCCAUAUUAUGCAAC
ensembl:lncRNA